UAAGUCACCUGCGCGCUUUGAACUGUGCUGUACAUUGGUUAGCAAAAUGACGUUACGCGUUAACCUUUCACGAGAGCGUCGAUUGUGCAUGGCUUGCCAGUCCAUAUAGAUUUAAUACAUGAACUCUGAGCAGACGGCAAUGCAUAACGGUAGUGCAGCCUGGCGAGAUUGAACGCUACAAUGCUUUCCAGGGUGACGCUUCGUGGAACAGCCACAGGUGCGAGGUAGAACAUGAGAGGAAAGGACAAGGAAGAGGGCAGCACUUUUGGGGGAUCCUUCGCUGCAACGGGCCACGUGUGGUGUCUUCGUUUACCCCAGCUUAGUUAAUCCUCGUGGAAGUGCGUUCUCUGGGAGUUUUAAUAAAAGAUGCAACAAACUG